UUAGCUGUAAACGAUGUGAACUUAGUGUCGGUGGGGUUAAAUCCAUCGGUACUGUAGCUAACGCGAUAAGUUCACCGCCUGGGGACUACGGCCGCAAGGCUAAAACUCAAAGGAAUUGACGGGGCCCCGCACAAGCAGCGGAGCGUGUGGUUUAAUUCGAUGCUACACGAAGAACCUUACCAGGGUUUGACAUGCAAGUGGUAGGAAACCGAAAGGUGACCGACUCUUCGGAGAGCUUGCACAGGUGC
rnacentral:rRNA from 1 species